AGAAAGUGAAAGAAUCCCAAUAGGCUGCAUUCCCAAACUUGGAGAAGACAAGUUCACAUUUACAGAAGAAUUCAACCCAGAAUUAUAAUACACUAUAGAACCAUUCCACAAAAGUGACAAGUUCCCAUUAUUCAUAAGGCUAAAAGAAUACAACCCAGAUCUCAAAACAUGAUUAUUAGUGAAAUUCUGUCCAGGAACAAUAGUAUCAGUUGGGUUAUCAAAAGCAGACCAAAUGUUCGAUACCGUACCGUUUUUGAGACGAAAAUUUCCAUUAUCAUCAAGAGUAGCUGUAGAAACCCCACGAUUUACAGUUCCUGAACUCCAAACAACAGAACCAGAAGACCCACUUAUGAGCUGAAGGUCACCGUUAGAGAGGAACCGUAGUUCACCUGAGAUAUCAACUGCUCCACCGUUAACGGUAUCGGCGCCUGCUUUCCAUAUGGGUAUAUUGUUGUAAGAAAUAGCAGCAAAAUAGGAACUUUGGUUUGUGGGGUCGAGCUGUAGGAAGGAAAAAGAGAAAGUGUUGUUUGGAGAUGACCAUUUGGAGUUUGGGUUAGAAGCUGAAAGGGUAGAAUUAGGAAGAAUAUCUACAGCUUCAAUGGUGAUGAUAAGAAUGGUGAAGAGUAUGAAUAGUAGUUUCAUUUUUGGAGGAAAUGGGUGAAAAAGAAUGAGGAAUUUGGUGUGGAUUUAUGAGUUGUGCGCCAU
rnacentral:misc_RNA from 1 species